AUUGAACGCUGGCGGCAGGCUUAACACAUGCAAGUCGAGCGGAGCGAGGGUGCUUGCACCUUAGCUUAGCGGCGGACGGGUGAGUAAUGCUUAGGAAUCUGCCUAUUAGUGGGGGACAACAUUCCGAAAGGAAUGCUAAUACCGCAUACGCCCUACGGGGGAAAGCAGGGGAUCUUCGGACCUUGCGCUAAUAGAUGAGCCUAAGUCGGAUUAGGUAGUUGGUGGGAUAGAGGCCUACGAAGGCGACGAUCUGUAGCGGGUCUGAGAGGAUGAUCCGCCACACUGGGACUGAGACACGGCCCAGACUCCUACGGGAGGCAGCAGUGGGGAAUAUUGGACAAUGGGCGGAAGCCUGAUCCAGCCAUGCCGCGUGUGUGAAGAAGGCCUUUUGGUUGUAAAGCACUUUAAGCGAGGAGGAGGCUACUUAGAUUAAUACUCUGGGAUAGUGGACGUUACUCGCAGAAUAAGCACCGGCUAACUCUGUGCCAGCCGCCGCGGUAACAC
rnacentral:rRNA from 1 species